UACCAGCACCCCGAGUGGUCGGGACGAUUAUUGGGCCUAAAGCAUCCGUAGCCGGUUCUACAAGUCUUCCGUUAAAUCCACCUGCUUAACAGAUGGGCUGCGGAGGAUACUAUGGAGCUAGGAGGCGGGAGAGGCAAGCGGUACUUAGUGGGUAGGGGUAAAAUCCGUUGAUCCAUUGAAGACCACCAGUGGCGAAGGCGGCUUGCCAGAACGCGCUCGACGGUGAGGGAUGAAAGCUGGGGGAGCAAACCGG
rnacentral:rRNA from 1 species